AGAACAAUUCGAGAUGGAUCUCUACAAUAGAUUGGAUGAGGUGUUCCAUAGAUUAGAUCAUCUAAUGGCUAUCAGACACACACUCUCUCUCCAUCUUUUCUUCUUAUGCAAAAAGUUUGCGCAAGAUGUUUGAGCCCCACUCACUUUGUGAGUGAAUGUCCAGUCGCACAUCAAUUUUCUAAGUUUAUUCAUCAAGAUCAAAUCCAAAUGGCCU
rnacentral:lncRNA from 1 species